rnacentral:rRNA from 1 species
GGGCACCACCAGGGGGUGCAGCUGCGGCUUAUUUGACUCAACACGGGAAAUCUCACCAGGCCCGGACACCGGAAGGAUUGACAGAUUAACAGCUCUUUCUUGAUUCGGUGGGUGGUGGUGCAUGGCCGUUCUUAGUUGGUGGAGCGAUUUGUCUGGUUAAUUCCGGUAACGAACGAGACUCUAGCCUGCUAAAUAGGCGUCGCCAUUUAGGUGUGCACGACUUCGGUCGUGCAACUCACUGGCGGCGUAUUUAAAUUCUUCUUAGAGGGACCGGCGGCUUCGAGGCGCACGAGAUUGAGCAAUAACAGGUCUGUGAUGCCCUUAGAUGUCCUGGGCCGCACGCGCGCUACACUGAAGGAAUCA